CACCGGCGGCUCGAGUGGUGGCCACUUUUAUUGGGUCUAAAGCGUCCGUAGCCGGCUUGGCAAGUCCCCUGGGAAAUCUGGCGGCUUAACCGUCAGGCGUCCAGAGGAUACUGCCAGGCUUGGGACCGGGAGAGGUGGGAGGUACCUCAGGGGUAGGGGUGAAAUCUUGUGAUCCCUGAGGGACCACCAGUGGCGAAGGCGUCUCACUAGAACGGGUCCGACGGUCAGGGACGAAAGCUGGGGGCACGAACAGG
rnacentral:rRNA from 1 species